UUCAGCAGCUAUAUUACCCUGGCAUCCCACUGAAGCUCAGCAGGAGUGAGCCUGGUCAGUACCUGGAUGGGAGACUCCUGGGAAAGCUGAGGCUGCUGCUGGAA
rnacentral:rRNA from 1 species